CGCACCUUGCGCUCCUUGGUAUUCCGAGGAGCAUGCCUGUUUGAGUGUCAUGUUCUCCUCAGCUCCUUCGGAUUUUUGUCUGAAUGCAGCUGGACUUGGAGGCUGCUGGACUUAAUUGUUCAGCUCCUCUUAAAAGGAUUAGUGUGAAUGUUAUCAAAUGUUCUCCGGUGUGAUAAUUAUCUGCGCUGUUGAAUGUUGAUUACUAUAGUUCAUGCUUCUAACCGUCCGUAAGGACAACAUACUUUAAGUUUGACCUCAAAUCAGGUAGGACUACCCGCUGAACUUAA
rnacentral:misc_RNA from 1 species